AAAUGAAAAACACGGAGAGAAUGGAGACUGGCGGCGGUCGUGGGCUUACCGGAAGGGAGUGGGCUCGACGGGGCUGCGCUGGUCGGUGGUUCCUGAGUCAUCGGAGAGGUGGUUCGGCACCUCUUGAAGUGGCUACCGUGGAGGAGGG